rnacentral:rRNA from 1 species
GAUGAACGCUGGCGGCGUGCUUAACACAUGCAAGUCGAACGGAAAGGCCCUGCUUUUGUGGGGUGCUCGAGUCGCGAACGGGUGAGUAACACGUGAGUAACCUGCCCUUGACUUUGGGAUAACUUCAGGAAACUGGGGCUAAUACCGGAUAGGAGCUCCUGCUGCAUGGUGGGGGUUGGAAAGUUUCGGCGGUUGGGGAUGGACUCGCGGCUUAUCAGCUUGUUGGUGGGGUAGUGGCUUACCAAGGCUUUGACGGGUAGCCGGCCUGAGAGGGUGACCGGCCACAUUGGGACUGAGAUACGGCCCAGACUCCUACGGGAGGCAGCAGUGGGGAAUAUUGCACAAUGGGCGGAAGCCUGAUGCAGCAACGCCGCGUGCGGGAUGACGGCCUUCGGGUUGUAAACCGCUUUCGCCUGUGACGAAGCGUGAGUGACGGUAAUGGGUAAAGAAGCACCGGCUAACUACGUG